rnacentral:misc_RNA from 1 species
GAAGCAAAAAAUUGGAGCAGAAGAAGAUGGAGGCGGCGGCAGCAACAGCGGAAUCUGUUCAAUGCUUCGGGAGGAAGAAGACAGCUGUAGCAGUAACCCACUGCAAACGCGGUAAAGGUUUGAUCAAGAUCAACGGUGUACCUAUCGAGCUAGUUCAGCCAGAGAUUCUGAGGUACAAGGCUUAUGAACCUAUUUUGCUUUUAGGACGACAUCGUUUUGCUGGUGUAGACAUGAGGAUCCGUGUGAAAGGUGGAGGUCACACGUCACAAAUCUAUGCAAUUCGUCAGUCAAUAGCGAAAGCACUUGUUGCAUUUUACCAGAAGUAUGUUGAUGAGCAGUCGAAGAAGGAGAUUAAGGAUAUACUUGUGCGAUAUGAUAGGACUUUGCUUGUUGCUGAUCCUAGACGAUGUGAGCCUAAGAAGUUUGGUGGU